rnacentral:rRNA from 1 species
GACGAACGCUGGCGGCGUGCCUAACACAUGCAAGUCGAACGGAAAGGCCCUGCUUUUGUGGGGUGCUCGAGUGGCGAACGGGUGAGUAACACGUGAGUAACCUGCCCUUGACUUUGGGAUAACUUCAGGAAACUGGGGCUAAUACCGGAUAGGAGCUCCUGCUGCAUGGUGGGGGUUGGAAAGUUUCGGCGGUUGGGGAUGGACUCGCGGCUUAUCAGCUUGUUGGUGGGGUAGUGGCUUACCAAGGCUUUGACGGGUAGCCGGCCUGAGAGGGUGACCGGCCACCUUGGGACUACGGUACGGCCCAGACUCCUACGGGAGGCAGCGGUGGGGAAUAUUGCACAAUGGGCGGAAGCCUGAUGCAGCAACGCCGCGUGCGGGAUGACGGCCUUCGGGUUGUAAACCGCUUUCGCCUGUGACGAAGCGUGAGUGACGGUAAUGGGUAAAGAAGCACCGGCUAACUACGUG